UGGGGAAUCUUCCGCAAUGGCGAAGCCUGGCGGAGCAACGCCGCGGGGGGGGUGAAGACGGCCUUCGGGUUGUAAAGCUCUGUUAUACGGGACGAAUAGUCUUGUGGUUAAUACCCAUAAGAAGUGACGGUACCGUAAGAGAAAGCCACGGCUAACUACGUGCCAGCAGCCGCGGUAAUACGUAGGUGGCAAGCGUUGUCCGGAAUUAUUGGGCGUAAAGGGCGCGCAGGCGGCUUCUUAAGUCUGUCUUAAAAGUGCGGGGCUUAACCCCGUGAUGGGAUGGAAACUGGGAAGCUCAGAGUAUCGGAGAGGAAAGCGGAAUUCCUAGUGUAGCGGUGAAAUGCGUAGAUAUUAGGAGGAACACCAGAGUAGCGAAAGCGGCUUUCUGGACGAAAACUGACGCUGAGGCGCGAAAGCCAGGGGAGCGAACGGGAUUAGAUACCCCGGUAGUCCUGGCCGUAAACGAUGGGUACUAGGUGUAGGAGGUAUCGACCCCUUCUGUGCCGGAGUUAACGCAAUAAGUACCCCGCCUGGGGAGUACGGCCGCAAGGUUG
rnacentral:rRNA from 1 species